UACGGGGGGAGCAAGCGUUGUUCGGAUUUACUGGGCGUAAAGGGCGCGUAGGCGGUCAGCACAAGUCAGUUGUGAAAUCUCCGAGCUUAACUCGGAAAGGUCAACUGAUACUGUGCGACUAGAGUGCGGAAGGGGCAACUGGAAUUCUUGGUGUAGCGGUGAAAUGCGUAGAUAUCAAGAGGAACACCUGCGGCGAAGGCGGGUUGCUGGGCCGACACUGACGCUGAGUGAGCGAAAGCCAGGGGAGCAAACGGG
rnacentral:rRNA from 1 species